rnacentral:rRNA from 1 species
CCAAUCGAACUCGGAGAUAGCUGGUUCUCCCCGAAAUAGCUUUAGGGCUAGCGUUAUCUUAGUUUACCGGAGGUAAAGCACUGAAUGGGCUAGGGGCCGAUAAGGUUACUGAACCCUAUCAAACUCUGAAUGCCGGAUAAAUGAUGGAUAGCAGUCAGACAGUGUGAGAUAAGUUUCAUUGUCAAAAGGGAAACAGCCCAGACCUACAGCUAAGGUCCCAAAUGUAUGCUAAGUGGAAAACGAUGUGGAAUUGCGAAAACAACCAGGAUGUUGGCUUAGAAGCAGCCACUCAUUAAAAGAGUGCGUAAUAGCUCACUGGUCGAGUGACUCUGCGCGGAAAAUAUAACGGGGCUAAGCACACAACCGAAGCUUGGGAUUGUCAAAAGACAGUGGUAGGGGAGCGUCGAAUACGGGGUGAAGUCGUAUCGGAAGGAACGGUGGACUGUAUUCGAGUGAGAAUGCCGGAAUGAGUAGCGAGAAUUAUGUGGGAAUCAUAAUGGCCGAAAAUCUAAGGUUUCUUGGGGAAGGUUCGUCCGCCCAAGGUAAGUCGGGAGCUAAGGCGAGGCCGAGAGGCGUAGUCGAUGCACAUACGGUAGAAAUUCCGUAACCACCGAAACUUAAGUUAGAGGGACACUUCGAGAUAGCGGAACCGCGGCGUUGGUAGACCGCGGCGAAAGGGACUGAAAUAUAGUAGGGAAGUCCGCGAUGCUCGGAGGCGAGAAAAGCUCUAAGGAAUGCUAAGGUGCCCGUACCGCAAACCGACACAGGUAGAUGAGGAGAGAAUCCUAAGGCCAACGGGAGAAGGGUUGUUAAGGAACUCGGCAAAUUGACCCCGUAACUUCGGAAGAAGGGGAGCCUCGAAAGAGGCCGCAGUGAAUAGGCCCAAGCAACUGUUUACCAAAAACACAGGUCUAUGCUAAAUCGAAAGAUGACGUAUAUGGGCUGACGCCUGCCCGGUGCCGGAAGGUUAAGAGGAGAGCUUAGCGCAAGCGAAGGUUCGAAUUGAAGCCCCGGUAAACGGCGGCCGUAACUAUAACGGUCCUAAGGUAGCGAAAUUCCUUGUCAGGUAAGUUCUGACCCGCACGAAUGGCGUAAUGAUCUGGGCACUGUCUCGACAGCCCACCCGGCGAAAUUGUAGUACUGGUGAAGAUGCCAGUUACCCGCAACUAGACGGAAAGACCCCAUGGAGCUUUACUGCAGCUUAAUACUGAAAUUCGGUAGUACAUGUACAGGAUAGGUGGGAGACUGAGAAAUACAGGCGUCAGCUUGUGUGGAGUCGCUGUUGGGAUACCACUCUUGUACUGCUGGGUUUCUAACCUGCGGCCGUGAAUCCGGUCGGGGGACACUGUUAGGCGGGCAGUUUGACUGGGGCGGUCGCCUCCAAAAAGGUAACGGAGGCGCUCAAAGGUUCGUUCAGCACGGACGGAAAUCGUGCAUUGAGUG